GCCAAAUACCGGACCCUGCACUUGGGUCACAACAACCCCUGCAGUGCUACAGGCUGGGGGGAGAGCGUCUGGAAAACUGCCUGGUGGAAAAGGACCUGAGAGUAUUGGUGGACAGCAGCUGAACAUGAGCCAGUGAGUGCCCAGGUGGGCAUCAGUCUCUUCUGCCCCCUUCAGGGGAGGGGUAGAUUGGAUAUUGGUAAGAAUUUCUUCUCCAGAAGGGUUAUUAAACACUGGAGCAGGCUGCCAGGGGCAGUGAUGGAGUCACCAUCCCUGGAGGUACUUAAAAGAUGUUUAAAAAGGUGUUUAAAAGACAUUGAGCUUAGGAACAUGGUAUAGUGGUGGACUUCACAGUGCUGUGUUAACAGUUGGACAAGAUGAUCUUAAAGUCUUUUCCAAUCUAAAUGGUUCUAUAAUUCUAUGGUUCUCUGAAAGGAAAAAUGAAAGUCUGACAGAAAUAGGAUAAUAUGGGAUUUAAGAGGAGGCUGAAAGGAGAAGUUAUUUGGGCAGGAGAGAGGUGGGAAGGCACAGAAGAAAGAAGGGAAGUGUAUAAUGUGUAGGUGUGAAAAGAGAAACAGCAUUCAGAAUUAAAAAAAAACAACCUCUUUUCUUGACCUUCUUCUAACCAUCUCUUCUACCAUGGAGAUGUUACUUGUGGGGAAGAAAAGGACUUCUUUCUGUACCACUUCGAAGUUUAUUGAGGCCACGUCCUUUUCCAGUCUCAUCCUGUGAUGCAGGACUGUCUCCAUCUUCACGAGCUCCUCUUGCAUGUGUUCUGCCAAGACACCCCCAUCUCCCAUGAUCCCGCACCCAGCACAGCUUUCUACCACAGCCCUUUGCUGGAAGAAGGGGUGACAGGGAUCCCCUAGCCACAGCUGGAACAAAGAAUCUGUGCAAAAGCAUUGACACAGCUUCUGGGAAGUGGGAGUAAGGGAAAGGAGGAAGUGGUGUUAAGCUAAGAAUUUAAUUCUGAUGUUUUUUGCUAUCAUGUACUUAGCAUCAUGAUGCCGUCGUGAUAAUAAGUCCAAAAGCACCAAAAGUGGAAAAAUAAAUCAGUGUGGGAGAAGAUAGGAGGAAUUUGGAAUGUCUUCCAAAUAUUGACAUUUCUUUCCAUGUACCUAAGGCUGAAAUUUGAACUGCAUAGGUAUAGACAGUAUGCUAACAAUUAGAAAUAUAUUUUAAAUAUUUGUGCAGUUUUCUGAAAACCCAUUUCUGCAGCUUGCUGCAAAGUGACAGCUAAGGAAGCAGAUAUCCUGAGUACCUGACACUUUUUUCUAGUGUAGCCAAACAAUAAAAAGAAGUUAAAAGAUUAGGCUCUUUUUGAACUCAGAUUUCCUGAAAUUAAAUGUGAAUUAGGAUUAGCGAUUCUGAACAUAAGCACGGUUUUGUGAAUACAGUAAGUGCAUCUUGGCAAAUUAAAUUUGUGGUGAUAAAACAGGUGGACUGGCUCAAAGUCACUUCAGAACAUUUAUGGUAUGAUACUUUCCUUCAGUCAUGUGUUCCACUUGGAAGUUCUGUAUCUGAAAUAACUGUUCUGGCGCUUCAGAAUACUUCCUUUAGAAAUCAUUGACAAUUUUAACAGGAACUGAAUUUUAAAAAUAAACAUACUUAUUCUUCACCUUUAUGUACCACUAAAGCUGAAGUGGUUUGCAGUUACAGAGCUUAUCAAAUACAGUGAAUUUGAAGGCUUUUGGGAAGGAGUUUUUUCUUAAAAGUGCAGUAAUAGAAUGAGUUCCUGCUUAGAACUGAAACAAUGUGUCAUAUUUUCAGAAUUAAAUCAAUAGAGGUGUUUGCACAGCAGUGCUUUUGCCAUGUAUCAGUGCUAGUGGAAAUGCCAAAACAUGGUCAUAAAGAAAGGAGCCACUGUGUUUGGUGUUACUGUGAACUGGAGCCUUUUUGGGGACAGCAGCAGCAACAAACAACUGUAAUACCUCCCACCCUCCCAUAAUCUGUGAAGUUUUAGGACAUGAAUUGUUGCCUUACUGUUCUCUCUUGCACUUUAGUCUGCAUGGAGGAAUUUUACAUCGCCUGUAAAGAAAAUCCUCCCACAUACAGUAAGGUAUUACUGCAUAGUACAGGUUUGCUUUAGACCAGGCAGAGAAUCAUUUAGGUUGAUGUUGGUUUAGGUAGUUACGUUUGUAGUAUUUCCGAACACUGUUUGUUAAAGAUGAUGAAGGUAUUUAAAUCCACUGCACUAGAGCACAGACUCAAAGAAGUUGGGAAACUUGGACAAUAUCAAACACAAGCUUUGAAAAACCUCUUAGUACCAGACUUCUCCUGCUUCCUACAGAUUAGGCCUCCUGCUGACUAUUUGUACUUUUUAAAUGUAUAAGAGAUUUAAGCUUUAAUGUCUGCAGCUCAGUUCACCUACCUUUGAAACAGCAGUGGUAAUUCUGACUUAAAUAUUGUGAUGUUACAUUAAUAAAUAUGAGCAAAACUCUUUGAAGUUGA